rnacentral:rRNA from 1 species
AGACCACCAGCUAAGGUCCCAAAAUAUAUGUUAAGUGGAAAAGGAUGUGGCGUUGCCCAGACAACUAGGAUGUUGGCUUAGAAGCAGCCAUCAUUUAAAGAGUGCGUAAUAGCUCACUAGUCGAGUGACACUGCGCCGAAAAUGUACCGGGGCUAAACAUAUUACCGAAGCUGUGGAUUGUCCUUUGGACAAUGGUAGGAGAGCGUUCUAAGGGCGUUGAAGCAUGAUCGUAAGGACAUGUGGAGCGCUUAGAAGUGAGAAUGCCGGUGUGAGUAGCGAAAGACGGGUGAGAAUCCCGUCCACCGAUUGACUAAGGUUUCCAGAGGAAGGCUCGUCCGCUCUGGGUUAGUCGGGUCCUAAGCUGAGGCCGACAGGCGUAGGCGAUGGAUAACAGGUUGAUAUUCCUGUACCACCUAUAAUCGUUUUAAUCGAUGGGGGGACGCAGUAGGAUAGGCGAAGCGUGCGAUUGGAUUGCACGUCUAAGCAGUAAGGCUGAGUAUUAGG